rnacentral:rRNA from 1 species
AGAGUUUGAUCCUGGCUCAGGACGAACGCUGGCGGUGUGCUUAACACAUGCAAGUCAACGAGAAUUUAUCUUCGGAUAAUAGUAAAGUGGCGAACGGGUGAGUAACGCGUAAAUAACUUGCCUUGGAGAUUGGGACAACAUUGGGAAACCAGUGCUAAUACCAAAUAAUGCAGCGGGCCCUUCGGGGCAUAGUUGUUAAAGUAGGCUUCGGCUUACACUUCAAGAUAGAUUUGCGUCCGAUUAGUUAGUUGGUAGGGUAAUAGCCUACCAAGACCGAGAUCGGUAGCUGGUCUGAGAGGAUGAUCAGCCACACUGGAAUUGAGAUACGGUCCAGACUCCUACGGGAGGCAGCAGUGAGGAAUUUUGCACAAUGGGCGAAAGCCUGAUGCAGCAACACCGCGUGAUUGAUGAAGUUUUUAGGAAUGUAAAAAUCUGUCGUAAGGGAAGAAAUGUUUCGGAUGUUAAUACCAUCUGUUACUGACGGUACCUUACAAGAAAGGACCGGCUAACUUCGUGCCAGCAGCCGCGGUAAUACGAGGGGUCCUAGCGUUGUCCGGAUUUACUGGGCGUAAAGGGUACGUAGGCGUUUUAAUAAGUUGUAUGUUAAAUAUCUUAGCUUAACUAAGAAAGUGCAUACAAAACUGUUAAGAUAGAGUUUGAGAGAGGAACGCAGAAUUCAUGGUGGAGCGGUGACAUGCGUAGAUAUCAUGAGGAAAGUCAAAUGCGAAGGCAGCCUUCUGGCUCAAAACUGACGCUGAGGUACGAAAGCGUGGGGAGCGAACAGGAUUAGAUACCCUGGUAGUCCACGCCGUAAACGAUGAGUAUUUGGUGCUGGGGGAUUCGACCCUUUCAGUGCCGUAGCUAACGCGAUAAAUACUCCGCCUGGGGACUACGAUCGCAAGAUGA